GCUCCUUCAGGGUAUCUCAGUUGGUGAGAGUGUGGUACUGAUAACGCCAAGGUUGCAGGUUUGAUCCCCAUAUGGGACA
rnacentral:tRNA from 1 species